rnacentral:tRNA from 1 species
GGGCGUGUAACUCAGUGGUAGAGUGCUCGCUUCGCAUCUUUCCGAUAGCAGUAUGCGAGAAGUCCAGGGUUCAACUCCCUGCUCGUCCA